rnacentral:rRNA from 1 species
UUUGACCUCAAAUCAGGUAGGACUACCCGCUGAACUUAAGCAUAUCAAUAAGCGGAGGAAAAGAAACCAACAGGGAUUGCCUCAGUAGCGGCGAGUGAAGCGGCAAAAGCUCAAAUUUGAAAUCUGGCGUCUUUGGCGUCCGAGUUGUAAUUUGAAGAAGGUAUCUUUGGGCCCGGCUCUUGUCUAUGUUCCUUGGAACAG